ensembl:lncRNA
CUCAGGAAUGGUAAUGGCUAGAGGCGUUCUGUUUUUUUCCUCGAAAAGAGGACACUUCAGGCUUGUGCGUUGUAAAUGGGCUGUUCUAUGGGCAGGUCAGUGUCCAAUCAAAACUAUCGAGCGAUAUCACAAGGAGCUCAAAUAUCCAAUUGUAGAGCCUUUGUGCUCUGACAUAGUGUAUCAAAGAUGUCUUCUGAAGACGAGGAGUAGCUCCCCUGACUAGCUGGAUCGUCGACACGUCUGAAAAGCGGCUCUGAAUGCAAUAAUGGGGCAUAGCGGACCGUUAUCUUAGUCGGAAUAACACACAGGAUAACCUGCAACCCAGCAAAGUCCUUGUAACCACUUUUAAAGAUAAGACAGAAGUUGCUAAAAACAUUUUCCAUGUUAACAGUGCCAAGGAUCUCAUUGAUCAAAGCCUAGCCCAGCAAACUGGCUGUGUGCUUGACAGGUUGUUAAAGUAUAAUACUGAUUUCAUGGAAUACAUUGAUGUUGACAUGAAUGAGGAGGAAUUGAAGGAUUUGGAUAGAUAUCACAUCUUUCUAUCAACACAAGGGACCCAAGUUGAAUGUGUGGAGGCAAAUCAAAAUCAGGCUCAACCACACACUGAAGGUGCAGGCGGUCAAUGGGAGACUGAACCUAGUGCUAGUGAAGCUUGUCAGAGUGGUCCACUGGAGAAAUGCCAAGGAGAAAAUGAUGGCGUGCACAGAUUUGAUGCAGCCAAUCUGGUGGUGCUAAUUAAUAACAAAGCCCCAAGUGUACUUGCCGAAUAUGAAAAAUCUGGAACGCUCUCUCUGGCAUCCAGAAAACUCCUUGUGAGAACAGGUGUCAGCGAUCUGGUUGAGCGACGGGGAUUGUGAGUUGAUUGAUCAUUCAUCUAGACCAUCAUUUUUUAUAGUACAUGUGCUCCAAAAUGAAACAUAAUAAAGGAUUAUCUUAUCUUAUCUCAUAACAUAAUACUAAAAUUUGAUGUAAUCUUUAUUACACUAUUGCAUUUUAAAUUUUUUUCUG